rnacentral:rRNA from 1 species
GGAGCAAACAGGAUUAGAUACCCUGGUAGUCCACGCCGUAAACGAUGUCUACUUGGAGGUUGUGCCCUUGAGGCGUGGCUUCCGGAGCUAACGCGUUAAGUAGACCGCCUGGGGAGUACGGCCGCAAGGUUAAAACUCAAAUGAAUUGACGGGGGCCCGCACAAGCGGUGGAGCAUGUGGUUUAAUUCGAUGCAACGCGAAGAACCUUACCUGGUCUUGACAUCCACAGAAUUCUGCAGAGAUGCGGAAGUGCCUUCGGGAACUGUGAGACAGGUGCUGCAUGGCUGUCGUCAGCUCGUGUUGUGAAAUGUUGGGUUAAGUCCCGCAACGAGCGCAACCCUUAUCCUUUGUUGCCAGCGGUUAGGCCGGGAACUCAAAGGAGACUGCCAGUGAUAAACUGGAGGAAGGUGGGGAUGACGUCAAGUCAUCAUGGCCCUUACGACCAGGGCUACACACGUGCUACAAUGGCGCAUACAAAGAGAAGCGACCUCGCGAGAGCAAGCGGACCUCAUAAAGUGCGUCGUAGUCCGGAUUGGAGUCUGCAACUCGACUCCAUGAAGUCGGAAUCGCUAGUAAUCGUGGAUCAGAAUGCCACGGUGAAUACGUUCCCGGGCC